AUGAACGCUGGCGGCGUGCCUAAUACAUGCAAGUCGAGCGAACGGACGAGAAGCUUGCUUCUAUGAUGUUAGCGGCGGACGGGUGAGUAACACGUGGAUAACCUACCUAUAAGACUGGGAUAACUUCGGGAAACCGGAGCUAAUACCGGAUAAUAUUUUGAACCGCAUGGUUCAAAAGUGAAAGACGGUCUUGCUGUCACUUAUAGAUGGAUCCGCGCUGCAUUAGCUAGUUGGUAAGGUAACGGCUUACCAAGGCAACGAUGCAUAGCCGACCUGAGAGGGUGAUCGGCCACACUGGAACUGAGACACGGUCCAGACUCCUACGGGAGGCAGCAGUAGGGAAUCUUCCGCAAUGGGCGAAAGCCUGACGGAGCAACGCCGCGUGAGUGAUGAAGGUCUUCGGAUCGUAAAACUCUGUUAUUAGGGAAGAACAUAUGUGUAAGUAACUGUGCACAUCUUGACGGUACCUAAUCAGAAAGCCACGGCUAACUACGUG
rnacentral:rRNA from 1 species